rnacentral:rRNA from 1 species
GUGACCUCAAAUCAGGUAGGACUACCCGCUGAACUUAAGCAUAUCAAUAAGCGGAGGAAAAGAAACUAACAAGGAUUCCCCUAGUAACUGCGAGUGAAGCGGGAAAAGCUCAAAUUUAAAAUCUGUCAGUCUUUGGCUGUCCGAGUUGUAAUCUAGAGAAGUGUUAUCUGCGCUGGACCGUGUACAAGUCUCCUGGAAUGGAGCGUCAUAGAGGGUGAGAAUCCCGUCUCUGACACGGACUGCCAGGGCUUUGUGAUGCGCUCUCAAAGAGUCGAGUUGUUUGGGAAUGCAGCUCAAAAUGGGUGGUAAAUUCCAUCUAAAGCUAAAUAUUGGCGAGAGACCGAUAGCGAACAAGUACCGUGAGGGAAAGAUGAAAAGAACUUUGGAAAGAGAGUUAAACAGUACGUGAAAUUGCUGAAAGGGAAACGCUUGAAGUCAGUCGCGUUGUCCAGGGAUCAACCUUGCUUUUGCUUGGUGUACUUUCUGGUUAACGGGUCAGCAUCAAUUUUGAUUAUUGGAAAAAGGUUAGGGGAAUGUGGCAUCUUUAUGGAUGUGUUAUAGCCCUUGNUUGUAUACAAUGGUUGGGAUUGAGGAACUCAGCACGCCGCAAGGCCGGGUUUUAACCACGUACGUGCUAGGAUGCUGC